AACAACAAGUGGUGCCCUUGCUUCCGUCAGUAUUUUCAACCUAGUUAAAAGGAUAAAAGGAAUAAUGGUGCAGUUAAGGGCAAGGCAGGUAUCUAUUAGUAUAUAAUGGGCAGAGUUAUUCGUCUUUAACAGGUUGGUUGUUAGGAUAUUCUGUGUCGUACUCAUUUCCAUAUAUUCUUUUUAGCAUCUCAUCUCUUCUUGCUAUUGAUUUAUUGCUUAUUUAUAUCCAAUAGUUCCUUUUGUAAUCUGACAUAUCUCUAUUUGUGUUCAUUUCAGUAUUGUUGUUUACUUAAGAUUUUGUCUAAAUCUUGUCAUGUUUCGUCUGCUUGAUCAAUUCCAACUUCCUCCAUUUCUCCUCCAUCAUUUGAUCUUCCUCGCCAUAUAUAUAGUUGUUAUCUUCUCAUGACUCCUGAUUUCAAUUGAUUUGGAGGCAAAAUGGAACUCACUCUCAUAAAAGUUGACAUUUCUUCAAAGUUCAAACAAAGUAUUCCUUGUUACGUAGACACAUAAUUUUAUCCCUCACCCAAAAGCAUUUUUACCAUUUUUAUCCCCAUUUUAAUGCGUGCCCUCACCCGUGUGAUUAUACAUCACAAAAAUAUAAAAAAUAACAAAUUUCAAUAAAUUCCUAAUAUUUCUUAUCCUAACAAAAUUCCUAACAAACUUUAUCUUAUUUUAAUCAUCCUAACAACCUACCCCUACCCCACCCCUUACCUACCUACCCUACCCCACCCCACCCAUUUCCCUUUACGUUUGUCCACAGGGAAUAUAAUAUAAACACUGCACACACUGGAAAGAAGAGAGGGGAGCAUCUUCUGGAGGGCCCACCACCAACAAAAUUGAUACCAUCAUCUUCCUCUCCACAAUACUCACACUACAAGACAGACUCUCCCAUACUCACCAUCAGAUCCCACGACACUCACAAGAUCACUCACCAUCACACCUCACCGGAGAAGAAAACCACAAACACCUCACUCUAUUCCUUCACGAUACACACACUACACACGGGGAGAGAGAAAGACACGAGCAAAGAGAGAGUGACGGGAAGAAGAGCAGAAAUCGAGACAGUGGAGGGACAAGAAAGGGAGAAACAGAGAUAGUGGACGGAGAAGGGGGGAGAACGAUUUUUGUGGGUAUCUUCAUCAUAAAUCCCGACCACCCUUCAUCGAAACCCGCCAUCAAACGGUAGAAAUCCAUCGAAAAGGCGUAGCUAGCUUAGAUUUCACUAGAAAUAGCAAAAUCAGUGCCUAAAUCGGUUGAACCCGAGCUAUUUCAAUCUGGUUCCGACGAAAUCCGGCUGUAAGGGGUACGAAAUUGAUUGUGGGUCUCUCGUUUUCUUUGUGAUUUUGGUCUGGAUUGGUGAAAAACAGGGCAAACGGCAUAUCGAGAUUGGUUGGUUCGCGUCGAGGGUCGUUAUUUGAGGUUUUCGUUUCCAUCACCCAAUUGCUUAAUUUGCACAAUAAAGCUCGAUUUCAGGUCCAAUUCUAUCUCGCUCUCAUUUUGGUUUCAUUAUAUACGUGUAAUUGGUUUGUGUGAAGCAUGAUAUGAAUACUUGGAUGAUAUCGAUUUGUUGUUUGGCUUCGUUGACAAUGAUUGUGGAUUAUUAAAGUGGUGAUCGUGAAUUGUUGGAAUUUUGAGAAUUAAUUUGGGGGAGUGAGAAUUGAAAACUUGAUAAUUGGUGAAUUUUGGUUAGUUUGAUUCAUUGGUUGUUUGACUUGAAUUGAACAUUAAUUGAACUUGAUAGUAUCAUGAUACAUCGAUUGGUUUAGGCAAACAUAGGUUGGGUAGGCAAAGUUUAGAAUUUGUGGUAUUUUCUUGCGCUAAAAAUGUAUUCAUUUGGCUGGGGAAUGCCUCGAGAGAUUUGUAUUGAUUUAUCCGGAGAAUGCCCCGAAGCAUCUUGUACUUGGAGGAUAAUUGUGAUGAAGGUCCGAGGCCUCGGGUAAAGCAUUGGAGUAUAGUUUAGGAUUAGUCUAAAUAUGAUUUCUAUUUUUUGUAUUUUUCUAUUUUAGGUCUGUAUAAUUCGGAUUGGACAUUAUUUUGGUUUUUGAAUUUUGUUUGAUUUGCUAGUUUACUUGUUUCGUGUGUUAUGUGGUUUAUAUAUUUAUUAUGUCAAAUUAGCUUAUAUGCUUCACUGAGCGAUCAUGGUCGAACCACGUGAUCAAGGGGUGUCUAACACCUUCCCCUCGGCCAACAGAAUUUCUUAGCCGGAAUUUCUGUUUGCGGAUCAGUUUUAGAGUCAAAACUGUAUUGAAAAAAAUUUCCAAAGGUGACUUGGCACACCCGAUUUAUGCCAAGUGACGACUCUGAGUUUUGAAUAUAAAGUUAUUUUCGAAACAAGUCUUCAUUUUGUCACUUUAAUAAUAAAAAUCCUUUCGAAACUUAAAAUCAAUCUAUUUUGGAGUUAAAAAAGGGGUGUGACAGCUCUGGCGACUCUACUGGGGAUCUAUUUUCAGAAUUCGAGCUUAAUUUGGAGUUGUAUCGGCUUAGUUUGGCACUAUAGGUGUGUAGACAUUUGCUUGUGUUGUUUUGUGUUAUUUUUUUUUUGAGUGCCUACGUACUCUUUGUUUACAGUUUUUAUCUUAUAUGUUACUGUUUUAUAUCUGCCAUCAUGUGCAUAGCUCGAGUCAUUCUUUCUGCAGCAAGUCCGUAGUACACGUACUGUACAUGACCUCUAGUUGAGUCACCCUUAUUUUAGGGGGGAGACGUCAGUGUUAUAGAGUAGGUGGAAAGCAAAGCAGCCACUAUCGAUCAUAUGCUCCCCCGAACAGCCUUAUUAGUGAACCCCAACGUAGGUCAGCCUUUAGGUCAUACUUAUGUGCAUCAUAUUGAAGACCUAGCGGGGCCCACUUAGCCCUUUGUAGGAAACUCGCCUCUAAAGCAUCCCUACGUGUUAAUUGUUGCAUCUUUGAGGGUAAUAUGAUCAUUUGAUAGACUGAUUUAGGGAAAACAUAUGUUAGAAGUAAAGUGUGUGGGCAUGGAAAAAUCGAAAGAAAAGGAAAAAGGAGUCAAAAAAGAGUUUUGUAGUUUUUAGAGUUCUUUAUGGCUUUUGUUUUUCACAAUUCAAAAAUUCUAAAAUAUUUCUUUAUUUUCUGCACUCAUUUGUUCAAAAAUCAAAACAUCAAAAAGAUUUCUCAUUUUGUCUCCUUUAGCAUGCAUUCAUAAUUCGAAUUUUCAAAAAAGAUUUCUUAGGAGUUUUUAUAAAAGAAAAUGAAAAAUGGUAGAAGUUUUGUACAUUUCAUAUGGCGAAAAUACCAAAAGAUUUUUUCUUUCAUAGUUGUUGGUGUCUUUUUCAUGUGAAGUGUCUAAUUUGAAAAAUUCAAAAAGAUUUUAUUGACGUUUUGCAUCGUUUGUCUUUGGUCGUAUCUCUUAAGUCAAGUUUUACUUUGUUUAAUCUUAAUUGUCCAAUCUGGAUGAACUACACACCCCCAAUUCUCCUCUUUCGGGAUGUGAGAUACGUAGGCAACCUAUUGUUGGUUCGGGGAUCUUAUUUUAAAAAUCCAAAAAUAUUUUUCUUCACUCUUCAUUUAGAAUAUGUGUCAUAUGCAUCAAUAGAGGAAAACUACAAAAAGAUUUUCCUUUAAUAGGUUCAAGUUUCAUUUUCGUACGAAAUGCAAAAUUGAAAACCCAAAAAAGAUUUUCUUUGAUAAUCAUAGAUUUCAUUUUGUAUAGUGAUGUUAAAGUUGAAAAGUUCAAAAAGAUUUUCGUCAAUUCUUUUGACAAAUUGUCAUUUUCUUUUCUUCUUAAAGUUUCAGAAAAAAAAAGUAAAAAGAGUUUAAUUGGACAUUUUGACAAAACUUCACGAAAUACGCACACCUGAUUCUCCUCUCUUGAGAGUGAGAUACGUAGGUGUCCUUCUUGGGAUCAGUGAUCUUUUCAAAGGAAAAGGAAAAAGAAAAAGGUUUUGAGAAGUGUUGAACUCUAACAUAUUUGUUGCCUCUUGUUCAGUUAGUUUAAGGUGGUUGGUUUGUGGCUUUUUGGCUGGUCCUCCAUAUUGCAUCAAGUCACAGAGAAAGAUAUGGCCAACAGGAAUACUGAGGUAGUUGUCACUGAUCAGAUAGAGAAUUCGGGCAAUGAGAAUUUAGGAGCUAAUGAAGAGAAUCAAAAAUUACGACAGUAAAUGAUAGAAGUGCAUCGUACUUGGGCUAAUGGUUUGCCACCUCCUCCAUUUCCUACUAAUAAUCUGGAAUAUCUUUCUAGCUUGCCUCCAGUAUCACAUGCACAGUUCCCUAGUUUUGUUGAUACGCCACAACAUGCAUCGAUAUCGACUCCGGGGCAAUAAUAUCCAAACACUUCCAAUGUUUAUUUCCUCACCCCUCAAUACAAAACUACCACAUACUCGGCUUGAUACAAGAAAAACAAGAGGAACAUGAAAAAGCCACAAAACAGUCUAAUACACCCUCCAAAACAGUCCACAAAUCACAACAAAUCGUAGGCCAAAUGGAGACCUCACUCGGAUUUGACAAAUAUAACAAGAAUACAAGAAACAAAGGUGUAUUUGACACCCAAAAUAGCCACAAAAUAUGAAGAACAAGAUGACAACAAGAACACAAAUUUUCAGAUUCAACAAGACACAAAAACAGUCCACUACAAACAAUAACAAGAUUACAAGAAUGAAAGAAUAGAUAGUGAGAUAUAGAUUUGUUACAAGACUUAGGAACAAAGUGUGAUUCAAACACUAAACCUCUAAUUAAUAUAAUAACAACACCACACUCUUACGGUGACCGCCAAGGGAAUCACUCACCUCAAGAUCCACCGUUUCCAAGCAAAGAACAAUAUUGGCUUUUCCAAGCCCUAUACUAAGGAUGACUUUUCCAAGACCUAACUAAGAACUAUACUAAGGUGUUGCACUCUCCAAGAGAGAAUAAGUCUUUCAAAUGUUCAUCAUUCAUUAACUAAAGAUAAAUAGCCUAAAAUAGACUAUAUAUAGUAUAUUACAAAAGAAAGAUAAAAUGACUCCAAUGCCCUUAAUGAGGUGGGUGGCAAUGGAGUGUCAUUUAGACAAGGCUAAAAGACCAAAAUGACCUUGAGGCUAAGUGACCAAAAUGACAUUAAUAAAAGGGGCCAAAACCGUGAACCAUCAAAUGUGGUCCAAACCCGCGAGUCCUCUAGUCUUCAAGGCUCCAAGCAAUCUUUCACACACGGGUUUGUUUGAUGGCAUGCUCAAAAUAACCCCUACAAGUAUGAUCCCGUGCCCUCCAUGGGACCAAAGCUUGAUUCUUCACGUAGUGACUAUGAAUGAUACCAUCGAAAGCUAAGGCGGUCAUUUCACUUGUAUCAUCCUCCCCUUUUUGAAAAGGAUUCGACCUUGAAUCCAUACCUUACAAAACAAGAGAAAGGACAAAUAAGCACAACAUCCUCAUGGCAUGAGGGUUAGGAUUAGCACAACAAUAAACAUCAUCACGCCAAGGGAGUACAUACUUGAAGUAUAACCAAGAAUCCUUUGAAGUGAGUAUUAAAAACUCAAUGAAAGAUGUACAAAAGAUUUGGUUAUGGGAUACACUAAGAGUGAUACUUUGAUUGUCAUGUAGACCAAGCAACAAGUUGGGUGCACCAAUAUCACUAUUUCUACAUUUGGCACCGGAGUUAAAUGGGAAAAGUGGCCAUAGACAUGGUCUAGACAACACUCCUCUUUCCCGUGGUCUACACCCAAACUAAACGACAUACUCUCUAUAAUAGAAUACAUAUCAUCCAAAGAAAAUAGAGAGUAGAGAAAGGUAUUACUCAAAUCGACUUCUACCAAGAUGCCCUCAUGUGUGUACUCCCUACUAGUUUCCCAAUAAUAACCAUGAGUACUCUCAACAAUAAAGUCACACAAAGUAAAAGAAGAAGUAGCUUCCGCAACUACACAUUCCUUAUCCCUAAGAGUACUCUCAUCUUCCAAGAAGAGAUUAGGAGGAAUGUUGUCAUACCAAAGUGGGUUAACAUAUAGGCUAUAGCUUCUAAGGCAAGCUAUACCAUCAUUUUCACCAAUAGCUUUAUUAGAAGUGUUUAAAUCAUCUCCAAACAAGACAUUACACCUAAAGAGAGUAUGAUCUAUCUCACGAACAGAUUUGGAAAAAGCAAGUUCCUCACGCCCUAAAUGAUCAAUAUCAAGUUUCAAGGAUGUUCCAAACACAAGAUUACCCCAAGAAGAGAUCUCGGGUUCACUCCUACUUUGUUGACCAACAUUUUCAAAUACUUCACUCACUUGAGUUCUAUUAAGCACAUCACACACAUACUCAAGUGGGGAUAAUUUUCACAAACAAGUUGAUCAACACCAAUUACACAAGACGAUGUACUUCCAUUCAACAUAUAAGCUUCAACACUAGGUGGACAUAAAUUGAUCUUACAAGAAGAGUCAAUUUCGUCAUCAAUAGGAUCAACUAGUGUAUCAAAUUCGUCAUCAAUAGGAUCAACUAGUGUAUCCAAACUCACAAUAUGUACAUCAUCAACAAGAGGCAAGGAAUCAUUAGACUCAUAAAUAAGUAAGCUACUAUUCACACUCAAUGGCUUACUAGCCACACAAUUGUCAUUCACAUGCACUAAAGUGUAAGAGUUAGCUAUUUUACCUUUAAGAUCUUGAGUAAACUCUUCCUUGCCAUGAGGUGAAUGUCCUCCACAAGCUUAGACAACAACUUCCUUUUGGCAUUGUUCUCCUUCUCUUGCCAUGUUGGUACCUACACAAAUGUCCUUAGAAAUGGAAGGACAACCAAUGUUAGGACGGUUUGGUGGCAAUCCCCUCACUUCGCUCCACAUAUCCUCUGUUGUUUUCACUCUCGAAUUACCACCUUGCACUCCCUUACUCCUCUCAAUCUUUUGUCUCUCAUCAUAAAUUGGAUUGGAGUAGGUAAGCAUUUCUCUUUGCAGUUUGGGUAGCAAGUACAUUAUGAGGUGAUUUUCCCAUUGGUCUCUUACAAUAUUAGGCCAAUUUUGCAUAUUAGGAACUUGAUGUCGUGCAAACCAAUCGGCACCCAAGCUCAUAUGACCGUAGGUUAAGGAAAAAACAUCGCACUACACCUCCUCAUGGUAAUCAAAUUGGGAGAAGACAGCUUUUACCCUCUCGGUAACCUUGAACUCGCCCAAGUAGAAUGGAACAAGUAAAGGCUCUCAAAAUAACCCCAAAUAGUCAACCAUGGACGGAAGAAUGUAGUUUCCAUAGUACCUAUCAUUCAACACCAUAAGGCAUCCUGGUAUCCCACAAAUAGUCACCUUUCCAGAGUGUACAAUCCUCCUUGGAUGAACAUUGUAAGGCACACGAGUACCCAUCGAUUUUGGAGAUGCUUGACCUCUUCUUCUCAUGGGACAACCUCUACUAUAGCUAGUAUAACCAAUCACACCAUGUCGACCUUGAUAAGAAGUACAACAAGGUGAAGAAUAUGAUCUGUCACACUCCACACGCGUACUCUCAUCAUAGCUCUCAUAAGCUUUGCGAAUGAAAUGGUUGUACCUAACACCAAAUUUAGGUUCAGAGUAGGAAGUAUAAGACUCCUCACAUACCCCAAUUUCAUCAUAAGAACCAUCACGAGGUCCUACAUCAUCUCCAAAUUCACCAUAAGCACUAGGCACAUCAUUCCCCUCAUUUUCUCCCCUAAACCCGAGACCCUCAAAUCUGCCCAAGUUUUGAUCAUGGCUAUUUUCAUAGCCCCCACAAUCUCCCUCAACUUCGUAGCCAUAAAACCCUUCACUACAAUCAUAGUCUCCCAUGUCGUAGUCACAGUAAUCUCCAGUUAUCGAAGACAUGUUCCCCUAAUAUCACCUUUGUACCUAAACAAUGAACAAAUAAUAUUAGUAGUAAAGCUUCCUUACCAACACUCGUAUAUACUAACCUUUGUGAUUCUCACAAUUGAAGCGGUAAAUAUUGAAAGUUGCUUAUACUCCGGUAGUCAAUAAGAUGUCAAUUCUACUUGGCGACCGGAAUAGAUGCUUGUUUGAUUGACUCAAGACACAAAAUAAAAUUUAAUUACGAACUUGAAACAAAGAAUUUACGACGAGUUAGAAACGAAAAAAGUACACAAACAACGAAGACACGAAAGAAAUGAAUUCAACAAUUAAUCUACAACUAUGUAGGUGAUUACUAGUUGUUACUUAAUUCUAGAAUCAAGACAUGAAACUAGGAAACAAUAAAAUGAAACUAAGAAUCUAAAAUUUGAGCCAAAAUUUGUCGUGUGAACAGUAAAACGUGAUGUGGCAGCCACGUAUUGGUUGUGGUUGUAACAAAUUUAUUUUCCAAAAUUGGAAUUCUUGAUCAAUUUGUAAGUUAGGAAUGGUGGAUUUGGUUUUAGGAGGGAAAUAUAAGUCGUGUAAUCCCUUUUCAAUUCCAAAAAGAGAAGACUUGACUUUGUUGUACACUUUCAUUAAAACAAGAUCCUCAAAACAUGGAAGGUUGUUGGAAGUGGUUGUAAGUCUUUGAGUGUGAAGGAAAAGUCUUUGAGCCACAAGUCUUCCACCUUAAAUCUUGGAUUUAUGUCUUGCAAGACUAACAUCAAUUUACACUCUGUUUCUUCAACUUAUAGGAUCAACAACCACUUUUUCUUUAACAAAAUAUAGAGAUGGUGAAGAACACUAAGAACACCAAGAACACAAACUUUGAGUCUUGAAGUUCUAAGGUUCAAGUUGGACCUCCCAAACAACACAACACCUUUUAAAGCUUAAAAUACACAAUACAAUCCCCAAAAUACAUGUUCAAACUUGAACCAACAGCACAUCACACGUUCAAGUCUUGAAUCCACAACAACAAUCGGUCAAGUCCAAGUUCACAAUAACAACAUCAACAACAAAGGCUCAAAUCAAGAUAUAGACUCAAAGUGUUAGUGAAGAACAAUACUAACACUAGAAACACUUAAGACAAGUAAAAAUCUCGGCCAAGACACAACAAGAACACAAUUUUUGACCAAGAACACAAAGUGGACAGAUUGCUAUUUUCUGGAAAUUUCAAUUUUCAGUUUUUUUUUUUGUGUGUGUGUUUUUCAAGUCUCAAGCCCAAGAUUGAUCUUGUUAGAAAAAAAUCAAAGAUGACUUUGAUACCAAAUGAUACAAGAAAAAUAAUAGGAACACGAAACAGCCACGAAACAGUCCAAUACACCCUCCAAAACAGUCUACAAAUCACAAUAAAUCGUGGGCCAAAUGGAGACCUCACUCGGAUUCGACAAAUACAACAAGAAUACAAGAAACAAAGGUGUAUUUGACACCCAAAACAGCCACAAAAUGUGAAGAACAAGAUGACAACAAGAACACAAAUUUUCAGAUUCAACAAGACACAAAAAUAGUCCACUACAAACAAUAACAAGAUUACAAGAAUAAAAGGAUAGAUAGUGAGAUAUAGAUUUGUUACAAGACUUAGGAACAAAGUGUGAUUCAAACACUAAACCCCUAAUUAAUAUAAAAACAACACCACACUCUUACGGUGACCGCCAAGGGAAUCACUCACCUCAAGAUCCACCGUUUCUAAGCAAAGAACAAUAUUGGCUUUUUCAAUCCCUAUACUAAGGAUGACUUUUCCAAGACCUAACUAAGAACCAUACUAGGGUGUUGCACUCUCCAAAGAGAGAAUAAGUCUUUCAAAUGUUCAUUAUUCAUUAACUAAAGAGAAAUGACCUAAAAUAGACUAUAUAUAGUAUAUUGCAAAAGAAAGAUAAAAUGACUCCAAUGCCCUUAAUGAGGUGGGUGGCAAUGGAUUGUCAUUUAGACAAGGCUAAAAAUACCAAAAUGACCUUAAUAAAAGAGGCCAAAACCUUGAACCAUCAAAUGUGGUCCAAACUCGUGAUUCCUUUAGUCUUCAUGGCUCCAAGCAAUCUUCCACACACGGAUUUGUUUGAUGGCAUGCUCAAAAUAACCCCUACAAGUAUGAUUCCGUGCCCUCCAUAGGACCAAAGCUUGAUUCUUCACGUAGUGACUUUGAAUGAUGCCAUCGAAAGCUAAGGUGUCCAUUUCACUUGUAUCACGGCUCCACCUUCAAUUCCUAUUUUUGCAACUCCACUCCCAUAUGAAGCUCCUAUUUCUAAGGGCCAUCCAACAGUCGUGCUUCCUCACUCUGCAAGAGAGCAUGUAUUGAAUAUUUCUGGUGAUCAACAUUAUGCUUCUGAACCCAUAUUUAAGUCAACUGGUCAUUACGACUACACUCACCCGCCUGAAUUUUCUCUUAACACUAAGAAGCCUGUUAUGACAGAAGAACAAGAGGAAAUAACCAAAAAAUUGAGAAGCUUAGAACUAGCUAUGAAAAAUUUACAAGGACUUGGGGGGUACAAAAGUGUCUCAUAUAAUGAUCUGUGUAUGUUUCUAGAUGUUCAUCUUCCUCUUGGUUUUAAAAUGCUAAAGUUUGAGAAGUAUGAUAGACAUGGUGAUCCUGUAACAUAUUUGAGAUGCUAUUGCAACUAACUAAGGGGCGCUGGAGGGAAGGAAGAAUUACUCAUGGCAUAUUUCGGUGAGAGUCUUUCAGGUCUAGCUUCAGAAUGGUUUGUUGACCAAGACAUCGACAAGUGAAAUAGUUGGGAUGAACUGACUAAUGAAUUUGUGCAACAAUUCCAAUAUAAUAUGGAGUUGAUUCCUGAUGAGAAAUCCCUAACUAAUAUGAAGAAAAAGAGUACUGAAACUUUCAGAGAGUAUGCGAUUAGAUGAGGUGAACAAGUUACUAAGGUGAAACCGCCAAUGAAAGAAAGUAAGAUAGUAGAGGUGUUUAUUCAAGCGCAGGCUGAAACAUAUUAUCAACACUUGUUACCUACAUUAGGCAAGCCAUUUAUUGAGGUCCUCAAAAUGGGGGAGAUGAUAGAAGAUGGAAUUAAGACCGGUCCCAUUGUCAAUUUUGCAAUAUUGAAAGCGACCACUCAAGCGAUUCAAAAAGUCUUGGGAAGUGUUGGAGGGAAGAAGUAUGAGAAAGAUGCAUCUGUCAUUGUAGUUGGACAAUAGGCACGGAAAAGAGGACCACACCAUCAUUACCCAUAAGCUCAAACCCAAGUUUAUGCCCAAGCUCUACAGAAUCUUUUCCAAAAUCCAUUAUACUCCAUUCUCCCACUUCCAUAUCCAGUAUAUAACGCACAACCACAUGUCCAACCCUUAUCUUACCUACAAUGGCACAAGCUAACUUCUCAGAGUCAUCCUCUAACUCCACAAACAUACCAAAGCCCUUCUAGGCCAGAUUUUCAGUCCAAGCCAAACAAUGAAAUGAGGCAGAAUUCGAGGGAUAGCUUCACACCAAUUGGAGAGUCGUAUGUAAGUUUAUUCCAGAGAUUGGUACAGCGAGGCAUGAUCAGUCCUCUCCUUGGGUAUACUCCUGAUCCACAUUCAAGAAGUUUUGAUCCUAAUAUACGAUGUGCAUAUCAUUCUGAUGUUCAGGGUCACAGUAUUAAAGAUUGUCAUUCUUUGAAAAGAGAAAUUGAAAAGAUGAUUCAAGAUAAAUCAAUUAUAGUGCAGAACAUUGACAAUGAGGAAAGAUUUAGUUGUGUUGAUAUACAAACCAGUGGCUAAGAUGUCAGGCUGAGCAAUUGAGAAGUCACCCCUCUCCCUACUAGGAAGAGGUUUGGUAGCUUGUUUUGUUUUAUUUUAUUUUUUGUUGUCUGAAUUAUUUCAGGGUUGUAGUUCGGGAUCUAUCUUGUUUUGUCCUUUUGUCGUUUAUGUUCAAACUCUUCUAUAUUUUGUUUUAACUAAAUAAAGUGUCCUAUUUUACUUUGUGUUUUAAAUAUGUGUUGUUUGUUUGUUUUCUUUAUAUAGUACAUUUUAUGUUGACUCUAGUGAUAUGACAUGCUAGUGAAAUUUUCAUCCAAAUCUUAAAAUUCAGUUUAAGCAUGAACAUUAAAUCAGAGGGUUAAAGUUAGAAAAAUAGAGCAUCUGAGAGAAAAAUAGAGCAUCUGAGAAAAUAGAUAGAGUACUGGGGCAUUUGGUGAUCAAGUUGAAGCCUUCUUUAAAAAUUAAGGCAAUUAUUUUGAGAAUCGUGAGAAUAACUUGAUCAUCAAUUGAAAGACAUAUCUCAAUUAGGUCAAGUAGUGAAUGUGCGACCCUAUGUCAAAAGGAACAGAAAGAAAAUCAACUCCACAAAGUCAUGAGUUCUUCAGCAUAGGGAAUGUACAAUGAAAGUGGAGUUGUAUGCUUGACAAAGGUAGAAAAAGAAUUAACACACAUGCUUAGUUGAAGUUAGCGUUAUUAAAGUGUCACAAAUGAUCUUCAUCUUUCAUUUCAUAUUGCAUGAUGUGUACUUGCAUUUUCAAGGAUUGAUAUGACGAAGGCAUUUCAUUCUGCUAUCCAAACAGCGUGUCGUCCUUUGUUUACCCCAUUUGAGCUUUAGUCCUAUUUUCUUUCAUACCCCUCUUUUGGAAUCAAGAUAGAGUCAGCAAAGCUCAAAAGAAAAGUGUCGAGCAAAGCAAUAUAGUCAAAAAAAUUUCAAAAAAAAAGAAAGAAAAUAUGUCCAAAAAAAAGAGUCAACAAAACAAAAAAAAACAAAAAAUCAGCAUCAAUCAAAAGAAAAAGAUACCAGAACUACGCAUGACCUGAUUCUCUUCUCUCGGGGGUGAGAUACGUAUGCUGCCCUACUAAAGGCUCGGUCCAAUCAAAUAAACAAUUUAGAAUUUCCCAAUCAAAAGAAACUGGGGUAUGAGUUUAUCCUCAUUAUUUGAGUCGAUUUCAAAAGUUGUAAGUCUCACCCCACUUCAAGUAUCGCUUGGGCCCCAUGUCAUCCUUUCUUUCUAACCAUAUUCAAAAGCCAAGUUACAACCAAAGAAAGUCCUUCAGAUCAAUCUUUGAGAAUGUUAAGGCUAAGCAUGCAAUGGAUGUGAUGACACAUUUUCGGAACUACUCGUCUUCCUCAGCAUAAGAAAUCAGGAGAGAAAUAAAAAUGAGAGAGUCUUAUUGGUGAAAACCUUUACGGGCACUGUAAGACAAUGGUAAGUUGAGAGAAAUAAAAAUGAGAGAGUCUUAUUGGUGUAAAACCUCACAGGUACUUUAAGGUGAUAGUGAGCUGAGAGAAAAAUGAGAGAGGCUUGUUGGCAAAAACCCUUCAAGGUGUCACUAGCCGAAUGAGGUCUUAAAUGCAAUUGACCUGAGGAAACAACUCAGUUUCAAGUCCAUUAACUCAAUAACAAUUGGUAGAAAGUUUGGAUGGAAAGAUCAGACAGCCUGAUCCAAAAUGCAUGGCACAAUCAUUAGAGUUGACUGUCAUUUUUAGAUAAUUUUUUAUUUUAUUAUUUCAAAUGGGGACAUUCAUUGUCUUUUCUUUCUUCUCUUUAUUUUUUUUAUCUUUCUUGAGUCAGUUAUUCAAAUAAAAAUCAUUGUCAUUUUUCUCUUAUCGUUGAGUCAAGUCUAUGUCGAAACAAGUAAGAAAAGAUUUCAAAAUUGGCUACCAGCUUCUUCAAUUACACAAAGCAAGACAAAAGGUCAACACAUGAAAGAGACAUGAUUGUGAGCCAAAAUAAGGCAUGCAGAAAGUUUUGUCAACCGACAAGUCUGGGAUUCAUGGAAAUACCAUGGCUCAAAGGGUUUAUCUUAGAAGCAUGACAAAGCAGAGAUACUGUAUCUGUUUCAGAGUCACUCUUAAUAAUCUGAGUUCGAAUUAAUGAUACAGCAAGUCAGUGACAUAUGCUAAUGGUUGAAAGCAAGAUUAAAUGUGACAAGGACAAAAGCGAUUUUCACGAAAGCCAAAGCCACAAAUCAGCCACCAUGUUUUUAAACUAAGAAGUUUUCUUUGUAUGAAACAGGAACACAUGCUACCUUUAAAUCAAGGAUUUCAAAGCCUAAUCAUCAAAGGCCGUAAUAUUCUCACUUCUACAAAUGCAAGAGGCAACGUUGCUGCAUAGAUUUGGUAUUCAAAACCAUGAUAAAACUCAUAAUCCACUAUCUUUAGGAGACACACUUUCUUAUUUGGCUAAUUCAAGCAACAUUUGUAAGGAAACGCACUUCCUUAUUUGGGUAAUUCAAGCAAAAUUUGUAAGGAUACGCACUUUCUUAUUUGGGUAAUUCAAGAGACAUUUGUUAGGAGACGCACUUCCUUGUUUGGGUAAUUCAAGCGGCAUUAGUAAGGAGACGCAUUUCCUUGUUUGGGUAAUUCAAGAGACAUUUGUUAGGAGACACACUUCCUUAUUUUGGUAAUUCAAGCGGCAUUGGUAAGAAGAUGCACUUCCUUGAUUGGUAAUUCAAGCGGUAUCAUACGGAGACACACUUCCUUGUUUAGGUAAUUCAAGCGGCAUUGGUAAGGAGAUGCACUUUCUUCUUUUAGUAAUUCAAGCGGCAUUUGUGAGGAAACACACUUCCUUAUUUGAUAAUUCAAGCGACAUUUGUAAGGAGAUGCACUUCCUUAUCUGGGUGAUUCAAGCAACAUUGGUAAGGAGACACACUUCCUUAUCUGGGUGAUUCAAGCAACAUUGGUAAGGAGACACACUUCUUUGUUUG
rnacentral:lncRNA from 1 species